rnacentral:rRNA from 1 species
AGUGAACGCUGGCGGUAGGCCUAACACAUGCAAGUCGAACGGCAGCACAGUAAGAUCUUGCUCUUACGGGUGGCGAGUGGCGGACGGGUGAGGAAUACAUCGGCAUCUACUUUUUCGUGGGGGAUAACGUAGGGAAACUUACGCUACUACCGCAUACGACGUACGGGUGAAAGCAGGGGAUCUUCGGACCUUGCGCGAUUGAAUGAGCCGAUGUCGGAUUAGCUAGUUGGCGGGGUAAAGGCCCACCAAGGCGACGAUCCGUAGCUGAUCUGAGAGGAUGAUCAGCCACACUGGAACUGAGACACGGUCCAGACUCCUACGGGAGGCAGCAGUGGGGAAUAUUGGACAAUGGGCGCAAGCCUGAUCCAGCCAUACCGCGUGGGUGAAGAAGGCCUUCGGGUUGUAAAGCCCUUUUGUUGGGAAAGAAAAGCAGCAGAUUAAUACCCCGCUGUUCUGACGGUACCCAAAGAAUAAGCACCGGCUAACUUCGUG